CAAUAGCGUAUAUUAAAGUUGUUGCAGUUAAAAAGCUCGUAGUUGGAUUUGUGGCGUACGGUGUGUUCCGGGCACUUGUUGUCUGAGUAACCUGCUGUUGCCAUCCUUGGGUGGAACCUGUGUGGCAUUAGGUUGUCGUGCAGGGGAUGCCCAUCAUUUACUGUGAAAAAAUUAGAGUGUUCAAAGCAGGCUUAUGCCGUUGAAUAUAUUAGCAUGGAAUAAUGAGAUAGGACUUUUUUGCUAUUUUGUUGGUUUGCGCAAAGAGGUAAUGAUUAAUAGGGACAGUUGGGGGUAUUCGUAUUCCAUUGUCAGAGGUGAAAUUCUUGGAUUUUUGGAAGACGAACUACUGCGAAAGCAUUUACCAAGGAUGUUUUAAUUAA
rnacentral:rRNA from 1 species